rnacentral:ncRNA from 1 species
UCGAGCCGGAUGAUGAAAAAUUAUCAUGUCCGGUUCCCUCGGGGGAUGGAUCUAUAAUAAUUCACCUAUCCCAAU